rnacentral:rRNA from 1 species
AACCUUUGGCCUCCAGUGUGCUAGCUUUGGCUGGCGGAGGAUUUUUACACUCUCGAAUGUAAUGAACACUAUUGUCGUGCGCAAGCACUAAUAUACAACUUUCAACAACGGAUCUCUUGGCUCUCGCAUCGAUGAAGAACGCAGCGAAAUGCGAUAAGUAAUGUGAAUUGCAGAAUUCAGUGAAUCAUCGAAUCUUUGAACGCACCUUGCACCCUUUGGUAUUCCGAAGGGUAUGCUCGUUUGAGUGUCAUUGUACUCUCACACUCUAUGAUCCUUUGGAUUCAGGAGUGGUGGACUUGGGUGUUUGCUGCUUUCCUUGUGGCUCACCUCAAAUGUGUCAGUGCACCUCUUGGUUGGACAUAGAACGGCGUGAUAAGUGUCUUCGCCGGCACCUCGCAAGAGGGUGGCCAACUGGGAGCUCUGUGCUUUCAAACCGUCAUUUGACAAUCUCUGACAACUUGACCUCAAAUCGAGUAGGAUUACCCGCUGAACUUAAGCAUAUCAAU